AAGUCGUAACAAGGUAACCGUAGGUGAACCUGCGGUUGGAUCAUUAACAAAAAAACCUUUGGUGAAAACCCUGGCUCGUUUGAAACGCGCGGAUGGUCGGGCCGGAUUCUCCCGGUCCCCCUAUGCCACUCGCGAGCCGUGUUUUUACGAACCCCUGUGUGAACCGUAAUAUUUGUUCCAUCCACGUAAUACGAAAUUUCUAGUCUAAAGUCUUCAUUCAUAUCACAAGAAUAUGAUAAAAACAACUUUUGGCAACGGAUCUCUUGGCUCUC
rnacentral:misc_RNA from 1 species